rnacentral:rRNA from 1 species
UUUUUAUGGAGAGUUUGAUCCUGGCUCAGGACGAACGCUGGCGGCGUGCCUAAUACAUGCAAGUCGAGCGAACAGAGAAGGAGCUUGCUCCUUCGA